GAAACCCUAGCCCCCAUCUCUUUCCCCUCCCUUUCAUGUGUAGUCCAUUCUUAAGAAGCUUCUUCUUCCUCCGUAGCAGUCUCAUUCUUCUUCUUCUUCCUUCAUAGUAGCCACAUUCUUCUUCAUCAUCGGAGGCGACUCCACGACAGUAUUUCCCAACGGACGGUGAUGCGAACGAACCCCAUGGCGGUGUGACCCUCGGGUUGUAGUGUUUUCAGCGGUGGUGCGACAGCAACAAACCCCCAGAUCUAGCGUUCUUCGACGGCCCAGCAGUGCGUGCGGUUCCUUUUGGGAGUCGUUUCGUGUGCAAUACUGUAGAUUGGAAGGAAGUUAUUUCUGUUCUAGGAAUGAGCAUCUAAACCCUACAAAAAGGGAGAAAAAAUUCAAAGAUUCGAAGUUCAAAGCGAUGGAAGAGAGAGAAGCCAUAAGUGUGUGUGAUUCCUUUAACGGCGGCAAGGAGCAUUCGGUGGUAGGGUUGUUGCUUAUUCGGCGAAUCGAUGGUAGGGUUGUUGCACUCUUAUUAGAUGUUGAUCUUGGAAAAUUUAUUUUCAGUCUAUUUCAUUAUUUUCUUGGUGUUUCAAGGCAGUGCAAUAUAAUCUCGACUGCUACUGUUAGAUUUUGCUCAUUUUGUAAAUUAGAAUUUUGUAUUCAAGUUUCUCGAUUUAGGUUGUGUAGCUUACUUUUACGAUUUUUAGUAAUUGAAGAGGUAAAGAACAUAUUUGUUGUUUGUGGCAGACUGUCUGGGUAAAUAAUUUUUCUCCCCUUUCUACUGUGAAAUGUGCUACUCUGUAGUUCUGCCAAACUUGAGAAAAUUAUCUUCCAUGUC